GAAAAGUGUUCUGGAAGUUUUAUUCUGAUGCUUCUUAUUCUUGUAGUCCUGUUAAUAAGGUUUCUUUAUACCUUUCAAGUUGUAAGCCUGUUUUGCCCUUCUCCUAAUCCAUAUCUCACAGCAAGAAAUGAGUAAGUACACUGGUGAUUUUAGUCAGCACUAAACCCACCACAAUGACACACAAAUGUGAUAACGGAGAGCCUGAGAGAAGUACAUUGACAUCAGAUCUUAAUUAAAAAUCAUAUGAUGAAGUGAUUUCCUUCCUCUGUUAGUAAAUUCUGAUGAUAUUGAGCAGCAGAUGUCAAAUUGGAAAGGCCACAUGUGAUCUGAUGAAAUACUGAUGCCUGCUUAAAAAUGAAACAGAACUGUAAAAUUUUAAGUUCAAAGCUUUGAAGUUGAAAGUUUAACUUCCUACCUUUCAUGCACAGAACCCUCACAGGAGAAGGUCUGUUUAAAAGUCAGCAGAAAGUUUAAUCCUUUUUGUUACUGUGUGUCAGCUAUUGCUGGAGAUGCAUUUUUCAGUGGAUUCAGCAGUGCACUGUUCCUCUGUCUAGUGCUCAAUUAACCAUUAUUGUCUGUUGCACAGUUGUUCUGCCAAGUGUUUCAAUGUUAAAUGUUACUGUACAAAUUCAUUGAUUAAAAAGCAAGUGUAUUUUGCAUAUCUCUGAAUCAAAUGCCACUUGCCAUCAUCAGACUUUAACAAGAUAAUUUCUUUUUUUAAAUGCCACUUUACAAAAACCCUCAACAACUCCAUCAGCAACAAGUGGGAGAAUUUAACAACCCAUGUGUUUUCUCAUAAUUAGUGGAUUUGAAAAGUAAAUUCCCAUUUGGGGAAUUUUCCCACCUGAAUCUUCAAGCAGAUGCUAAUAGGCUUGGAACUACAGAGGAAGGUAUUUUUAGGUCAGUGAUUUUUCAGCAGCAGUAAUAGAAGCUCUACAGUUUUGAUACAACAGCUCCAACAGUACAACUCUUGUCUCCAAAGACCGGGUUUCAGUAAAGUGCUAUCACUUAUUAAUAAACUAGUUGGAGUGCAACCACUGAUGUAUGGAAUUUUGAAUAUGCUUCACUGGAUUGGAAUAGUGGUGAUGUUGGCAUCUAUCUGAUUAUUAUGGACCUGUCAAAACACAGAACCCUGAUGUGGCAAGGCUCAUUAAAUGCUUUCAGUUAAAGAAAGUCCCUUUAGAAGACACUUUGUCUUCAAAAUUUUUUCGAAAUAUCAUCUUGAUGCUUUGCAAAUUAUUUUUGUUCCCUGUACCUGAUUGCUGCUUUGAGCUGGACACAGCAGGCUGAGAUCUGAGACCCAGUGAAUUUUCUCCUGACUUGGUUCAGCACACCUGCUUGUCAAGUUCUGUUCAUACUUCCUUAAAGUAAUAGCUGUGUUUUUAACAUCAUUGUUUUGUAAUUAAGUUUUGGCAUGAUUUCCUAGUGAGAAGGAAGUUCAAAAGUAGUAACUUACAAACAUGACUGAAAAAGAGAUUAUGAUAAUCUUGAUUUUUGGUAAUUUCCUCUAUGCCUUAUAAAAACAAAUGGUGAGGAGGUUGAAAACAACCCAUGAUUUGUAAGAGAAGCCCCAAUGUGAGCACACUGUGCUGGUGAAAAAUGCACAAUCUAUAGCAGAGUCAUAAGAAGGCUCCCAUUCAUUUUCUGUGUCAUGGUGCUGAUAGUCUCCUUACUCAGAAUUUUCAGUCAAAAGGUGGUAUGUAUUAGCUUGAGAAGUCUUGGAAAGAGAAUGUUUUUACAACACUUGUCUUAGAUCAGUCUUUCUUUUUAUAGAACAUUGUUAAAAACUUUGAUCUUUCUGGGUUCAUUACAAGCACACCCAUUGUGUGUUAUUCAAUUCUUUACUUUCAGCAUGAAUAAACAUUUCCCCUUCAUAAAUCACAGCUGACACUAAAGAGGAAUUUCUGGGUCAGCUAGUUCACCCGCAGUCCCAAUUGCUGUUGCUCCUCCUAACUAUAGGAGUCAUCUUUAAGUAGCUCUUGAGUCACUUGCCAGGGUAUUCAGUGUUCUUUAGUGGCACAAAACAGAAUCAGUCCUCUGCUUUCUGCACAUCUGAAAUAUUGAGUUAAAAUUUCUCCAUAUAGCAGGAAAUUUUGCCUUAUGAAUCUAAAACUUUGCCUUUUAGACUUCUUUGAAGAUGUUCUAUUUUAGAGGGAAUGCACAAAGUUUGUUUCGUUUGUCCUGAACAUUAUUCUCUUAUUACAUGCUCAUUAUUGUUAAUGAGAGAAAUUCUGCCUCUUAAGUUUUUCUUAAAUCUUCUCAAUUUUUUAUUAUUCUAAAUGUCUAUCAUUCUAUGUCUGUAUUUGCUACCCUUGUUGUGCUGGAAACAAAGUUAUUUUAGCACAUCAAGCAGUUGCCACAUGUAGUCUUACUAUAACAUUUGAUUGAAGAAGGACUUUUUCCAUCUGAAUGGGCAGCAGCCCACACAGUUUGCAGUAAUUUCUUAAUUUAUUCAUUUUUAGAGCACUACAGAUUGGGAGAAAUAUUUUCAGAUUUCUGACUGUUUGGUUUAGAAUCUAUCAGGUAACCUCUGCCUGAGAAUAAAAUAUCUAAGGAUGCUCAGGGAAAUAAGAGUUCUUUCAUUUCAGAUGUACAGGAUUUGAUUUCCCAAACAGAAGAAGAGGGAUUAAAGACUUAUUGUAUGUAGCUGAUGGUAAACUCAGGGUGAAAUGGAGAAAAGUAACCUGCUUGAGUAGAAAGUGAAAGAAAAGUUUCAAAUCAAUGUUAAGCACAAUUUAUGUGUAGUAGACUUUAUUAUUAAAUUCAUUGAAUGUUGAAACAGGAAAUAAAACUCUUAAAUGCUAUUAUCUUGCUUUUUAUUUUUAUUUUUUUUUUCCCCAAAUUGUUUUUCUGUUCUGUAAUAAGAAAUAUAAAUCAUAUGUUUAAGAUGGUUUGGGGUAGAACAGAAUCCUGUUAGAGCUUCUUCAAAUAGAUUGCUUUGUAUCACCAGUUUCACAUCAGCUAAUAUUUGUAUUCUGGUGCACUUGAAUAAUGAAUCUGAAGUAUAGCUCCAAGAAGUAUUUGUAAAGAACUGCGUAGGUGAAAUGAACUAUUGAAGUGGGAGUUGCUGAAAUUGCUGAGUUUUCCUGAAAAUAAUCCCUAAGUAGGAAAAAAACUGUACCUGAAUUAUUUGGUUACUUCUUAUGUCUUUCUUCCUUUCUACACUGCUUAAAGUAAUUUUUCCCUUUUUUUUUAAUACCAGUUUCCUGCAGCAUUUGAAUUCAACGAGUUAUUUUUGAUCACCAUUCUGGAUCACCUUUAUAGUUGUCUAUUUGGAACUUUCUUAUGCAACUGUGAAAAAGAGAGAUUAAAAGAGGAGUUGAGCACAAAGACUGUAUCUCUGUGGUCCUAUAUAAACAGCCAAUUAGAGGAAUUCACAAAUCCCUUCUAUGUAAACUAUGAAAACCAUGUCCUGUAUCCUGUUGCCAGUCUGAACCAUUUGGAACUGUGGGUGAACUACUACAUCAGGUGGAACCCAAGGAUGCGGCCUCAGAUUUUGCUAUCCAAAAGCACUUCAGGAUCCUGAAGGAUUCCUUGGGAAUGAAAACCUGAAAAUCAAUACUGAAAGUGAGCUGUAGUAAUUCUGUGAAGAGGAAGGCUUGACUUUUUGAGGAAAUGAAGCUGUCUUAUGUCUAGGUGGUUUUUAUGUGGGAUGUAGUAUGUAUUGGUAUAGGAUAACUAUAAUUUCUUCGUGGCCAUAGUUUAAAAAAAAAGAACAACUUUAUUUUUCCUCAAAUCCUUCCUCAGCAGGAAUAAUUCAUCGUAACUGGAGUGGCAUGUGCUCAGCAUUACACUGCAGCAGGUUCUGCUUUUGAUGUAUGUGGAUAAUUCAGUUUUACAAAUAGUUUCAUAUCAGUGGUAUUUUUAGCAAUAAAGAACAUUUUGGCAGUGUUCUAAGUACUUUUCUGCUCAAUGUAGGCAGUAGGCAACCUGUCGUUAAGGUGGAGGAAAAGUACCUGCUUUUGAAUGAAACAGGCAGCAAAGGAAGCUAAAUGAGGAAAAUAACUGCCACCCAUUUUAACUGGUUAAUUAACUCCUCUCUCUACCAGGGAGUAGAAACCCUGGGGAGAUAGGGAAACUGGCAGAGGGAAGAGAAGGGAAGGGAAGGGAAGGGAAGGGAAGGGAAGGGAAGUCUAUAAAGCUUAUAUUUACUGCUGAGGGUAUUUCUCUGGACAGGUAAAAGGACUUGGGGCACAGGGUUUGGGUAAGUGGUAAGAAAAAGUUAGUUAUGAGGCAGGGGAGCAGGAUGUAGUCUGACUUUCUGAGUCAAUAUUACAGUAACAACUGGGGGAAAAAAAAAAAGGGGUAGGGGACGAAACAAAACAAAAAUAUCCCCAUCACUGAGAAGUCUUCUUGAAGUGUUUUGGGUAGAUUCUUCUCCAGCUUUUAUGGUGCUAGCUUUUUGGUUAAUGCCUGGAGUGAGGUCAGACUUCCCAAGGAUCCAGGCCCUUUUACCCACUACUUUAUGGUGCUGGCAAACUCCCUGUUUCAUUCUGUGGCUAGCUAUAUUAGAUGCAAGUGCCAGUUUUGUUUUGGGUUGAUCAGCUUCUAACUGUUCAUAGUAAAUUUUAUGUGACUAGAGAAAUCUAUUUCUACUUCUUAUAAAUAGUACAUGGCAAAAUUUUUUUAUGAAGUUAACUUUCCAAAAUCCAUUAAAAAGGUAUGUAGUACAUUCACAUAGUUUCUGCUUCAUUUUUACUGGUCUAUUGUGUUAAACCACAGAAACGAAAUUUACUGUUUUUCAGUACAUUGAAAUAAUAGUUUAAAUAGCACAUGAGAAACAUUCUGAAUAGCAAUGGCUAGGCAAUUUUCCAGCCCAGCCAAACUGUAGAUGCAUUGCUGGUAGAGUUUCAUCUGUGUAGGCUCCUCUCAUGCAGCAGAAAUAGUUGCAUGUUUUUAGCUGGGUUAUGCACAGAAAUGAUGGACCUGGCUGUAGAAGCUGAGUGUUCCCUGGCAGCAUCACUGUGGGGACACUAGUCUAAUAGGUCAAGAGUCAUCUUUUGAGCUUCCUCUCCUAAUCUGAGAGGCAAAAUGAGAGAGCAGAAAACAGUACAGCUCCUGUCAGCUUCCCAACAAAUUCAUUUCAGGCAAACCGAUUACAUGAUUUCUUAACAAGACAGUAAUAAAAGCUUGAGUUGGAGACAUGCUUUUAGGGUUAAGGUGGUAACAGAUCAUUUAAUAAACGAUCUUUGAACUUCUUGUUCCUUACAGAAUCUGUCACUCUUCCACUUCAUUCUAAACAGUGGCAAAGUGAAGGAGGGCCUUGUUUACAGCAAGCCAUUACAGGUGUUUAUGUGAAGGUUGUUGGACCCAUUUCCUUCUGAAGAAGGUUUUAUUUGAGAGGGGAAUCUCAUGAUGUGAUAGAACACGGUGAAGUGACAAAACUGGAGAUGGUUAUCUGUAAGAAUUUUUACAGGAUGGUUUGAGGAUGCACUUGACAACAACAGAUCUGCCUCAGAAUAAGUCUUUAGAAAGUGUGAAAAUGAACUGACAUUUUAAUGUUAAUGUUUUUCAUGACAGAAUUUAAUUCAUGAUGCUUCAUCUUUUUACUCUUCCUCCUCCAUCUAAGAUGGAAGGAAGCUUCCAGAAAGCUGCAUAAUUCCAUGGUUUUCUUAAUGAUUUUGUUGAAAAAAAAAAAAAAAGAAAAAAGAAAAAAAAAUACCCCAAAACACAUAACUUAAGGUUGAGGCUUUGUUGUGGGCAUAUCCUCCCCUUUUCACUCUAUUUUCAUUCUUUCACUUUUGAAUUUGCUGCUUUUUUUUCAAAAAAGGACAGUUACAACAACAGAACUGAAGACAUCUGGAGGAAAACAUGGCUCCUCAUGCCAGGCUGUUUUUCAGGUCUUUUUGUAGGAACUUCCAUGGUACUUCAGGUGCUUAUACCACCUUUUCCAUACCCCAUGAUAUUGUAAUUUGAAUAUGAACCUUUAUUACUAAAAAAUCAGCAAUUUUCAGUUGCUUGAGAUUUUUAUAGACUGAAUUUGACAUGUUAUUUCAUGAAAUUAAAGUGUUUAUUGGAAGUUUAACAUGUGAAACCUAUUUCUAGAAUUUUAUUGUUUAAUGUUGUGUGCAUCCACAUGAUCCACAUUAACACAUUAACAGGAUGUGUUAAUGGCAAUCAAAAAUAAUCUUUUACUGGGAAAGACUUCAUAUCAGAAAAUCCUUUGUGUUUACACUACCAGAUGAAAUGACAUGAUGAUAUUUAUGUGGAACUGUCUUGCAGUGUUUAACAUGCCCUUACUAAAAGAUGGCAAAUACUUAGAAAGUGAUUCCCUUUUUUUCCCCUACUGUAAGAUCCUGCUCUGCCUUGCUUACAGCUUAGCUGGGCUCUAAUGGUUUGCAUUGAGUCCCUAAGUUUGUGUGUCUGACUGAAUUGUUUUGUAAAACUUCAUCCAAGAAGGCUCAGUUGCUUAUGAGAAUGUGACUAAGAAAAAUGUUUUCCCGUAUGAAAAUAUUGGGAAACUUAUGGGACUUCUCUUAGGACAAGGGGCUGUUUUUCUAUAAAUGUUCUACCUCUGGGGCAAAUGAGAUUUUAAUAAGAUUAUAUUUCAGAAACUGACCCACUCAUAUUGUGGAAGAAAUUCCUCCCAUUUGGAGGUCUGAGGCUGCAACAGUCUCAAUGUAUUUUCAGAACUGAGAAUAAAUUAAAGGACUGAGAGAUUGAUUUUAUACAGAGUCUAUGAGAGGGUUGAGGCUAGCUGGGAAUAGGAGCUAGGAGUGAUUAAUGUUCUGGGUGCUGGAGGUGUUUGCCUUCUGUUCAACCCAUGGAACAGAGUCUGAGAAAGUAGGCUGGAGGGGACAUGAUGCAGGCAGGGGAAGAGUUGUCCCCUAAGAGAAAUGAAGUUUCUCCCUGCCUUUGCCACAGGAUUCCUCUGUUGUAAGGGAGCUCACCUGGAGCAGAAUGGUCCCUCUAUGUAUCCUUAUUUACUAUGUGUCCUGCUUGGCCCAGCUGCAGAAUUUCCAAGCUCCCUGUUAAACCAAUUUGAGAUCCAAAGUACGCAAAAUUAGGAGAUGCUGGCUUCAGGUCCUUGUUUGUAAAAGCAGAGUGUUAAUACUCCCAUACUUCGUUAGGGUGCUGCAGAAAUAAAUUUGUUUCUUAACAUGAGAUGAAAGUACAGGAAAGGAAACUUCAGCAUUUUAAAAUCAGAAGAAUAAAUAAAAGAUGGGGUCGGACACUGCAAAGAAAACGAAAUAUGGAAUAACUUCUCAUUAAUUAAGUAGCAUCAGCCUGUGCACCAAGUAAAUGAGGAAUACAAGGGGGAAGUUAAUAUUUUAGUAUUUAUUUGACCAGUGAUUUUAUACAGAUGUACAGGAAGACUGUACUGAAGUUAGAGAAUUAGACUUCAUUCUGACACUUCCUAAUUCUUUGGAGCAUAAUUUUGCAGUCUUAAUGUUGAAGAGUUCUGUGUGUGACUUGAAUAUACACAGGCUUUUUAGAAGUCAUUAUUGUUAUUUAGCUAAUUUAUUGAAAGGCAGCUCUGCUUUUCCCGAUGGACCUGUGGAGAGAACAGCACUUGCAUCAAAGCUGGAGCAUGUGCCUGUUAAAUUAGGCACUGGGCAUGCAAAGGGAUUGAGAGGUGCAGCCACACUUUUCUUCCUCAAAACAUGUUAAAGCUGUCCUGCAGCAGCUUUUGUGUGGUGUAUCCUGGAAAGAUUUGUAGUAGGUUCCCCAAAAGCCAGUUGUGUGGAGCUGCUUUUUGAGAGCAUUUGAACUCUGCAAUGGAACCCAGCAACUGAUGCCCAUGUGAAAUCUGGCUGCAAGAAAUUGGCCUGGUUUGCUGAGUCAUGGUUGCUGUGCAGAAAUCAGGUGUACAGAUCUCCCAUGACCCAGGGCUUGUGUGACUGGUGAUUCCAAUGGUUUUGAAAACAUCAAUAUCAAAUGCAUGGAUUUUGGAUAUAUGUUCUUUAAAAAGCGAGAAUUCACAAAAUGUUCCGAUCCACCAAAAUCUUAAAGAACUUCUGGCCAUCCGGACAGAGCUUCAGAAGAGGGUUGAGGAUUUGCAGCGGGAGGCUGCCACACGUUCCAUUUCCUCCUCUUCUGACAGAGGUUCAUCUCCUUCCCAUUCCACCACACCAGUGCACACCUCUGUGUGAUGUGGAACUAAAGCCAUGUGAAAAAAAUUAGUGUCAGAUAACACAGAGGGUGAAAUGCUUUUCCCAUCACAAAAGGAUUGUGAGUGACUUGUAAUUGCUAUGAUCUACAUGCCUUACUCUGUGUCUGAUAAUAUCACAAUGAGGCCAAAAAGAGCUUCAAUAGAUAUGGUGUAUUUUCUUGUUGGCAGUUCCUAUAUGUGUUUUGACACUCUAGCUAAGUCACCAAUUGUGAAAUUAAACUUUGUUUUGAGGAACUAACAAUUUAGCCAUUCUGAAAAGGAAUCCAUCUGCCAAGCAGACAGGAAAACGCCUCACACAUUGUACUAUGCCUGGUUGAGAGAUGAUGCUUACACAGAACACAAAAUGGGUUUUUUUGAAUGGGAGCUCCUUAUUUCACUCAGAUUUUUUUUUUUUUCUAGAGCAGUUUAUUUUUUUUUUUUUAGGUAAUGAACAAAUGUUUUCCAGUGUAGUCAGUUUUACAUUUCAAACUAAAUAUGCCAUUAAAAGUGGAUGAAGUUGAGCUGGAGUUAUCAAGUACACCACACUGACAUGUAUGAUGUAAUAUAUUUGGUAAAGCAUGUACUUUAGGUUUUUUAAUGCCUUUUGUACAAGUUGAAAAAAAAGUUUAAAAAACUGUUUAGCUUAUUGUUCAGUUUCAGCCUCGUGAGCUAGGGUUAAACUUGCUCAUGUCAAGCUCUUGUACAAAGUAAAGGUUUGUUUUCUAGCAAAUGGUAAUAUUUGGGGUUGAAAUGACACUCAGCUGAGUAAAUUGCAUAAUCUUUAUAGCUCCACAUUGUGAUGCGUGUUUUGUUUCUAAGUGUACACACAAAAUGCUAAGCUGUGUGCGUUUAUACCCAUGUGUAUGUGAUGUUAAACAUAGGCAUCCUCCCGUGGGUUUAAGCUGUACAUUCAGAAAAUGGAACCUGCCUGUCCAAACCCUUCUGAGGACCUUAACUUGCAACGAUUUUGUUUGACAAAGUUUUUUGAAUAAUGAUACUGUUUUUCUUGUAAUAAAGCCUCUUGACUUUUUGUUUUUUAAAUUCCUGCUAGCAUUUUUUCUGUAAAGGAAUAAUUUAACUGUGUUGUCACGUUAAAUAAACAUUCCCAAUGUUCUCGCAUCUCUCCUCAGAAA